AAGAAUGUAUAGCAAUAGCUAAUUACGUCAAUACUAUAUUGACGCAAUAUCGAUUUUAUCGAAUAAAAUUCUGGGUAUAAUUUGAUGAUGACAUUUUAUGCCCAUGUGUCUUGACCAAAUUACGUGCCAGCAGUCGCGGUAAUACGUAGAAGACUAGCGUUAUUCAUCUUUAAAAGGUUUAAAAGGUACCUAGACGGUAAAUAAAGCUUUAACUAGGACUCAUUUACUAGAGUUACUUAUGAGGGGGCAUUAAAGUACUAAUGGUGUAGAGAUAAAAUUCUUUGAUACCUUUUUCCAAAAGAAAAUGACGGCACAGAUAUAGGCGAAAGCAUCUCCUUAUGUGAUAACUGACGUUGAGGGACGAAGGCUUUGUGUUGCGAACAGGAUUAGAUACCCUGGUAGUCGAAGCAGAAAACGAUGAGUGUCAUAGAUUAGGUUAUCUUAUUCUAUAAACGAAAGUGUAAGCACUCUACCUCAAGAGUAAUUUGGCAACAUUGGAACUGAAAUCAUUAGACCGUUUCUGAAAUCAGUAGUGAAGUAUGUUGUUUAAUUUGAUAACCCGCAAAAAACCUUACCACAACUUGAAUGUUUAUAUUAGAUGUAAAUACAAGCGUUGCACGGCUGUCUUCAGUUAAUGUCGCGAGACCAUGGUUAGCUCCAUUUAAUUAACGUAAACCCUUGCUUUUUUUUUAAAUAAAGUAGUUC
rnacentral:rRNA from 1 species